rnacentral:rRNA from 1 species
CGAUACGAGUUUGAUCCUGGCUCAGGAUGAACGCUGGCGGCGUGCCUAAUACAUGCAAGUCGAACGAGGUGCUUGAGUAGCAAUACGAGAGUAUCCUAGUGGCGAACGGGUGAGUAACAUAUCGGAACGUACCCAGUCGUGGGGGAUAACUAUCCGAAAGGAUAGCUAAUACCGCAUACGUCCUGAGGGAGAAAGCGGGGGAUCGCAAGACCUCGCGCGAUUGGAGCGGCCGAUAUCGGAUUAGCUAGUUGGUGGGGUAAAGGCUCACCAAGGCGACGAUCCGUAGCGGGUCUGAGAGGACGACCCGCCACACUGGAACUGAGACACGGUCCAGACUCCGUACGGGAGGCAGCAGGUGGGGUAAUUUUGGACAAUGGGGGCAACCCUGAUCCAGCCAUUCCGCGUGAGUGAAGAAGGCCUUCGGGUUGUAAAGCUCUUUCAGCAGGAACGAAACGGUGGUCCCUAAUACGGACUACUAAUGACGGUACCUGAAGAAGAAGCACCGGCUAACUACGUG